ACCUGGGUGGCUCAGUCGGUUGAGCAUCCGACUUCAACUCGGGUCAUCAUCUCACAGCUUAUGAGUUCGAGCCCCAUGUCAGGCU
rfam:Felis catus isolate Cinnamon breed Abyssinian chromosome C1, whole genome shotgun sequence.